CAUUUAUUGCAUUGAACUCGAAAACCAAGCGCAGCAACAGGCGCUUUCCGAGCAGCUACGGGCAGCUUGAAGGAGGGACUCCUUUGCAUCAGUGUACUCCAACUGAAUUGUCCUAAUCUUUCCCAGGUAAAACAGGUACCGACAGAACUGCUGAUUUGAGUGAGCUUCAAAUCGUGGGGCCUUUGACCUCAGCUUCUCUGCUUGAUC
rnacentral:misc_RNA from 1 species